rnacentral:lncRNA from 1 species
UAUAUUGUCAGAUAUUUUGCAUUAAUAUGUUAUUUAUUUUGCAGAAGAAAAAGGAAGUUUCUGUAUUCUGUACACCAUUUGCUAAGUCUAUACCAAGGGACUGAAUACUCAGUCUAAACAGACAAAUGACUUAAGAAGAAAAGUAUCAACACAGAAUCAGGGAGGGAGAAAGAAGUAAACAUUGAAAGGAAAAAUUUAUGUAUCUGUCACACGAGGGUAUGUUCCUCAAUUCUUUUUCUCGUUACAACAAACAUUUGGAGUGACGGACAUUUAAAGCUCCCUCGGUGAGUCACAGCUC